rnacentral:lncRNA from 1 species
GGAGGUUGAACGUGAUGCACUCAUUUGAAUGCUGCAUCCAGCUCUGCAUUUUCGCGCAUAACAACCAUCCCACUUGAAACAACCUUUAUGGCUCAGUUGGACAGCCAUUUACCCUAGCUAACAUCUAUUUUCAUCAAAAAGGAAGGUGUUUCUGGCCAAAAACUAGCCAAACAUCUGGCGAUCUUGCAAGAGGCUACAAGUGACAUCAAUCUUAAAUGGGCAGCAGUCCUCAAGGCACUUUGCAUCUAUCUUGGUGAGGAUGAUGAACAUCUCAUUCAGGAGUAUAAGGACAUUGAAGGAGAUGGCAUCCAGAGAGACCUGCAGAAUUCCACCAUGGGCGUAUAUGUCAUCAACAAGGAGGGUGGAGAAAUUGGAGCACAUGAUGACAUUUAUGUUGAAGGAGAAAUCAUUCUGGACAACAUUGGAUCUGUAGCCCAAGCAUCUGCAAUGAUGCUGGGAGUCAUCUAUGUAUUGAACUU